GGCAGUCCCUGCUCGCGGCUCUGCCGCGCUCUGGCGUGGGCGGAGAGUCCGGAUUCCCGCAGCCCAAGGCCGCAGCAGGACAGUGCAAGUGGGCGUGUAGAGCAGGGCGUGGGUGGGCGAGGAUCCUAGGGGCUCAGACGGGGAGGGCUUGACUUCAGUCCAGCUGAUUCUGCAGCGCCGGAAGCCACGAUGGAGAGUAGGUGCUAUGGCUGCGCUGUCAAGUUCACCCUCUUCAAGAAGGAGUAUGGCUGUAAGAAUUGUGGCCGGGCCUUCUGUUCCGGCUGCCUUAACUUCAGUGCAGUGGUGCCUCGGACUGGCAAUACCCAACAGAAAGUCUGCAAGCAAUGUCACGAGGUCCUGACCAGAGGGUCUCCUGUCAAUGCCUCCAAGUGGUCACCACCUCAGAACUAUAAGAAACGUGUGGCAGCCUUGGAAACCAAGCAGAAGCCCAGCACUUCCAGAAACCAGGCACUGACUCAACAAGACCAAGUCCUUGCUGAGCGCCUAGCACGACUCCGUCAGGAGAACAAGCCGAAGUCAAUACCCUCACAGGCAGAAAUAGAGGCACGGCUGGCUGCAUUGAAGGAUGAAUCCCAGGGUUCCAUCCCUUCUGUCCAAGAGAUGGAGACUCGACUUGCUGCCCUGCAGGGCAGAGUUCUGCCUUCUCAGACCCAUAGGCUGGAACAUCUGACAGCAGACACCAGGACACAGGCUCAGCAGACACAAGAUCUGCUAACACAACUGGCAGCUGAGGUGGCUAUUGCUGAGAGCUGGGAACAAGGAAGCACAGCUGCCUCUCUCCAGAAUGACCUCAACCAGGGUGGCACAGGGAGCCAGCACACUAAUUCCCAGGGGCAGGCCACCUGGUCCCUGGAAGAGGAGAAGGCCAGGCUGCUAGCUGAGGCAGCCGUUGAGCUACGGGAGGAGAACACAAGGCAGGAGCGGAUCCUGGCCCUUGCCAAGAGACUGGCUGUGCUGCGUGGACAAGACCCUGACAAAGUGACCCUCCAGGACCUCCGCCUCCCAGACAGUGAUGAUGAUGAGGAUGAAGAGACAGCCAUCCAGAGAGUCAUGCAGCAGCUCACUGAAGAAGCUGCCCUGGAUGAGGCAAGUGGCUUUAACAUCCCUGUGGAGCCAGCUUCCCGACCCCAGGCCCCACCCUGCAGGACAGAGCCUAGGGCCCAGGUCAUGGCUCCCAGGCCAGAGGCUAAGGAAGAGGAACUUCCCUGGUGCUGCAUCUGCAAUGAGGAUGCCACCCUGCGCUGUGCCGGCUGUGAUGGAGACCUGUACUGUGCCCGGUGCUUCCGGGAGGGCCAUGAUGCCUUUGAGCUUAAAGAACACCAGACAUCAGCCUACCAUCCUCCAUAUGCUGGCCAAGAGCACUGAGGAAAACCUGGUCCUCCUGGAAAGGUGGUCCUAUAGGCAGCCUGCAAGCUGGCAAUGAUGCCCUCAGGGCAUCAAUGAGACAGCAGAUCAGGCUCUACCGAUGAUGGAUAUUCCCCUUCCUGAGCCUCAGUGACCCCUGGAAAGAGGAAAGAUUCUGUUUGAAACAACAAGUGAAAGAGCCAAAGGGAAAAAGUAGGGGCCCUCCUCCAAGAAUCCUGGACUGGAAGUGAGAGGCAUGAUGUUCUAGAAAGACCAAACUGAAUCUAAGGAAUCAACUCCAGAAAGAGACCCUCACCUGAGGCCUUCCCCAUCAGCUGUGAGUGGAAGAAAGAUGAGCUUUCUCUGAUACCUCCAGAUCCAGCUAAGUGUUUCCUGUUAUCUCUUCUCUGGAUUCAAGAUUAAUCUUUGACAUUUGAGCUCUCUUGUAAGGCCAGGAUGCUGUGUGUCUUAGCCAGUUGCCCUCAGCUUGCCCUCUAGGCUUUAUUAGAUUGUGAUCUUACCAAAGUAAAGCUGUUGACCUUCAUCUUUGAAUUUUCAAGACCUGUUUGGAUGAUGGAUGGAUGGAUGGAUGGAUGGAUGAAUGGGGUAUGUGGGUACAGCCUAAUGAAGAGGUCAUUCGUCUUUGAAUGAGUCACUUCACCCUCUCCCUCCCCUGGUCCCUUGGCACAGAUAUGCUCCACACUCCAUUUAGCUGGGGCUGCUAAAGAUUUUAUCCACUUGGCUGACAUGGAAAGCAUUGGGCAACAGCUACAAGUGGCUCCCAGAGAGCCUAGCUGCUACUGCACAUACACUUAAGGGUGUACCAAUGUCCCUCCCUGUCAUCUGUAUUCCUUGUCUGUGUCCCAAGGAGCUGUAUCCCUUUCAGCCAGAGUCCAGAGUACUGAGGCUGCUAAAGAUAGUCUCUCCAGGUUUAUUUCUGAGGCCGGCUGAGUCUUCGGAGUUUCUUGAGUUGACUGAGAAGCUCAGAGAUAAAAGGCUGAAGGAGAAAGAAGAGCGAGAUCAUGGCAUGGAGUCACACCCACCCACCACACUGCCCUCCCCAGUCUCCCCUGACCUUGAUCCUAGCUUCCCAUAGCCAGGGAAUGGAAGAAGGAUGCAGAACCAAGCCUUCCUUUCAAACAUUCCUCUUCGUUAGCGACCUCCCCACAACCAUCCUUCCCCCAUCCCCCUCUUGCCCCUAGACCAGCAGAAUAUCCCAUACCUCUGUGGAGCGGGGGCAGUUUUGGAGAAUGGCCUGAAUAGAAGAGAGCAGAGUGGAUCCAUGAGCCAAAGUACUUUCCUAUGAGUCCCACUCAAUCUCCCACUAAUUCUCCCCUCUAAAUUGGUUCUUUCCCACUCAACCCAAGGAUGCAGACCCUGGGUUCCUGAAUUCCCUAUGGUCUCAGUCCAGCUUUUAACCCCCAACCUCUGGGCCCAUUCUCCCAUCCUACCUCCAAUUGAAUCUUCUGCUCCUCUGUGGAUAGUUCCAUGAGAGCCUCCAGGUCAAUCUCAGGCUCAGAAGGGGCUGGUUGAUCCUAUUUGGGAAGAACACAGGACUCAGACGGGCCUGGUCAGUUAGUGCUAGAGUGGAAGUUACUGUCAGGAACUCACCCAUCUCCAACCUCAUCUUCUCUGACUCACGUUCAGCCUCACCUUACAGAAAACACCCAUUUUUCAUUCAACAAACAUUUACGUAAUACCUACUAUGUUCUAUUUGAAACAGUAGUAGGAUUAUUUAAAAACUAUCUACAUUUAACGCCAAGGUUAUAUACAUAAGCAGUUUGGCAGUUCCUUAAAAUGGUAAAUAUAGAGUUAUAGUUAGACCAAGAAAUUCCACUCUAAGGUGUACUCCCAAGAGACAUGAAUACAGAGGUCUGCACAAAAACUUGCACAUGAAUGUUCACAAGCAGAAUUAUUCAUUAAAAAAUCAAAACAACCCAAGUGUCCCUCAACUUAUUUAAUGGAAAAACAAAAUAUUGCCUAGAUAGAUCAUACUACACAGCAGUAAACAGGAAGGAAAUACCAGUUCAUGCUAAAACAUGGAUUAACCUUGAAAACCUGCUAGUGAAAGAAGCCAGUUAAAAAAGUCACAUAUUGUCAAUGAGUCAAUGUAUAUGAAAUGUCUAGAAUAAGCAAAUAUGUAAAGACUGAGGUAGAUUAGUGGUUACCUUGAGCUGGAAAUGGUAGUGGUAGGGAAUGGGGUGUGACUGCUGAUGCUUAUGCUCUUUUUUUGAGAGAAAUAACAUGUUCUAUAAUUAGGAUGUAGUAAUGGUUGAAUAACCCUUUAAGGUACUGAAAAUAGUUGAAUUGUACACUUUUAAGUGGGUGAAUUAUGUGAUGUGUGAAACCUACUUCAGUAAAGGUUAUUUGUUGUUGUUUUAAGGUACUGAGAGCUGGGGUAGCUCAGUGGUAGAGUGCUUGCCAAGCAUGUGUGAGGCACUGAGUUCAAUUCUCAGCACUGCAUAUAA